AGGCAAGUUACAGAAGAGCCUGGACCAUGCAGUUGGCUCAUCAGGUAGACAUUAACUUCUGCAAUGUGCUGGACGCUCUUUUAAGUUUACAGGCAUAAACUUUCCCCUUGUAGGAAGACACCUGAAAUUGACCUACCUGGAACCACCAUCUAUAUUCUGGGAUACUGUGCUUCAGUCUUUUAGAAACUCUUUGAGGCUCUUGGCAGCUGCGAGAAAAGUCCUAGCCCACAAGAUGCUGUGAAGACCAUUUCUUUCUCAAAUCCUCAUUUUCCAAGGAACUUUUUGAAGAUAACCAUCCUAUCACAACUAAGGGUAACUUUUUGUUAACUGGAAAUAAUCA